UACAGAGGGUGCGAGCGUUAAUCGGAAUUACUGGGCGUAAAGCGCGCGUAGGCGGCUUUGCAAGUCGGGUGUGAAAUCCCCAGGCUUAACCUGGGAACUGCAUUCGAGACUGCAUUGCUAGAGUAUGGGAGAGGGAAGUGGAAUUUCCGGUGUAGCGGUGAAAUGCGUAGAGAUGUGGAGGAACACCAAUGGCGAAGGCAGCCUUCUGGGCCAACACUGACGCUCAUGCACGAAAGCGUGGGGAGCAAGCAGG
rnacentral:rRNA from 1 species